rnacentral:RNase_P_RNA from 1 species
UGAGUUAAUUAUACGGUCGCGGGCUACUUUAAGUAGCGUGAGGAAAGUCCGAGCAUCAUAGGGCAAGAGUGCCUGCUAACGGCAGGAGAAGGCGACUUCAAGGAAAGUGAAUAGAAAUAUACCGCAGUAUUUAUACUGUAAGGUUGGGAUGGCGAGGUAAGAGCUCACCGCCGAUUAGGUAACUAAUCGGGCUAAUCAAACCCCACUCGAUGCAAGAUUGGGUUAUAAACUUGCUUAAAUGCAAAAGCUGCCCGCUUGUUUAUAACCGUUAAUAUCGCUAGAGUUUGUAGGCGACUGCAAGCGUAGAUAGAUGACCGUACACGACAGAACUCGGCUUACAGAUUAAUCUCAAAUC